AGGAGUGUUGCUCAGUGGUAGACCGCGUGCUUAGCAUGCACAAGACUCUGGGUUCCACCCCCAGCACUAAAA
rnacentral:tRNA from 1 species